AAGAUGAUCGUCCUGUUCACGGAUGGUAUUCAGAACACUCCACCGUAUCAAGAAGGUCUCGUAGAAAUUGGAAAGUUGUUGGAUAAUGAGAAUAUAAAAGUGUUCGGCAUUCUCACAGGAGAGCAGAGAAACAUGAAUGCCUUAUUGAAUUUGUGCACAAAUGAUCAAUUCAUCUUUGAACCAGAGUUUCUUCCAGAAUUGAUCGAGGUUAUGUAUCAUGAAACUGAAUAUUAUUGCUAAGGUAUAGUUUCUAUAGCUUCUUUAUGUUUUUUCUCACUGCAUAUAGUUAUUCUGUAUUAGGGACCGGUCAUUAUUUAUGGCAGGGGUGGGGGCCGAAGAGAAAGUAUAAUGAAGCCGGAAAAAAUCAUUACCCCACCUUUUUCGAAACAAAAUUUCUAGCUACCCCAUCGGUGGAAUGCCAGAAAAUUUUUUUACCCCACCCAAUCCUAUUUUGUUGCAAUGUCAAAGGUUCAGACAUAAAAUAUGUAAUGAAACAGUUUAGUAUUUUGUAUGCAUAUUACUCAUCAAGGUACAAAAUUGCCCUUGAUGAGUAAGAUCAUCUGCUGUUAGAGAGUAAAUAAUUAACAAUUAUUGGAUGAGGUUUUUGUGAUAUGCGGAAUUAUCAAGGUCGAGGUAAGCGUUAUCAGCCGAGUCGAAGCUGAUAACGCUUACCGAGACCUUGAUAAUUUUGCAUAUCGCAAAAACCGAAUUCAAUAAUUGUUUUAUUAUACAUUUGAAAAAUAAUAAACAUAGUAUUUUAAUAUUUUAAUUUUUUUGCGAUAUGCAAAAUUAUCAAGGUCUCGGUAAGCGUUAUAUUCAAUAUGAUUUCUGGCGAAGCUGUUCAAGUAAAACGUUUCUAUAAACAAGUCUCCGGAAGUCCAACAGUUAAAUUAAUUACAAAUAUAGAAGAAACAUAUUAUCGUUAAGAUGUUAACGUAUUAAAAUAUUUACUUGUUAAAGUAAACAUUACAAUUAUGAAAUGUACAUUCAUUUGAAAAUUGAAAUGUACACUCAUUUGAAAUGUACACUCAUUCAACCUCACGCAACCUACACAAAAUUCAGUUAUCUGCUAGCAGAUAACUGAGUUAUCUGCUAGCAGAUAACUGAAUUUUGUGUAGGUUGCGUGAUUUAACUGUAAGCUCUUAGCCAAUCAAAUUGCUUUUACCAACUACAAUGUAUAAUAAUAAUUAUUAUAGGGUGCUUUGACCACAGUGGACAUUAGAAAUAGGAUUAAUUGGUAAUACUUGUUUACCAAUAUCCCUUGGGAAUAGGAUUGAUUGGUAAUACUUGUUUACCAAUAUCCCUUGCCUUCCCCUUAUUUCUUGUGGAUCAGUAUAAAUUAAAGCACACUAUAACAACAGUCAUGCAUUUAUAUUAUGGGUUAUCCCUACAAUAGCAAGGUACUAUAUAAAGAAUUAUAGUUAUCUGAAGGCUUAAAAUUUGUCUACUUGUAAAAUUGAAAUAUGAAUGGGUUUUUAUAGUUUGUAUUCAACGCUAUAUUCCCUUUUCACGAGAUAGUGCAAUGCUAGUCCCAUAAACAUAUAUUAACCAUAUGCUUCAAUAUUUUAGAACACUAACCGUAUUUCACCACCCUAUCUCUUUAAUUCCCACUUUAAAGUUUCACUGUAUAUAAUUUGGUUUCUUUCACAUUCUUGCAUUUCUUUAUUAAUUAAAAUGCAAUUUUAUUUUGAAACAGUUUCACAAAAUAUGUGCUCACCCAUGAUUGCAACUAUCUAAAUUCUAAAAUUUCCUCUGAAAUUCCUUUAAUAUUUCCUUACUAUAGACAAUCACAUGUAUCAUCACGGAAUUUUAAAGGAAUUCCUUAAGAAUUCCCAAGGAAUUCCUUAAGAAUUCCCAAGGAAUUCUUGAAGUUUAUGAAAUCAAUUUACUGUAAUAUUUUAAUUCGUAAACAAUAGCACGAUACUAAAGUAUUUGUCCCAUGUGAGAAUAUCUGAAUUUAGAAAGUUACUGUAAAUUAAUGAGAAAAAGUUGCUGUUAUACAGUGUGAAGAUAAAGAUAUUCAUCCGAAUACCAAGUAUGAUUAUAUAAACAAUUAAAUUAAUCUGUAAAACGGGUAAAUAGAUUUCUCUUAUUUUUAUAUCCAUGUAUACAUGGUCUGCUAGUAAAGAAAAACAACUAGAGUUGAACAUAUUGUCAACUAGCCAUUGGAAUGAUUCUCCAGAUUCACAAGGGGCAUGGGCAUAUUUCAUGAUUUGCUACCUGAAUUGUACACAUGGUUUACAAGCACAUACUGGAUAUAAAUAUUAGUUAUGCAGUAUCAAGUGUAGAUGCCCAGAAAUUAAAUCCUGAAAAUUUAAUAGACUGUACAUAUACUUUUUGAGAUAAUAUGUAAUAAGAGGAUGUUUAUAUGGGGGCGAGGCUGGAUGCCCAGGGUUAUGGGCUACAGACUUAAGGUCACUUUUCCUGAAGCAAGAUCUCCGGCUAAAGGGGAGGGAUCUCGCUUAGCUAUAGCUGGGCCCGCUCUUUACCCAUAUAUACACAAGGUGAACUUUAGUAAGAAAUAACAACAAAGGCAGGAUCUCGCCAAAACUGGGCCAGCUUGGGUACCUGGGGUUGGCUUGCAGUUGCACCAUAUAAACUGCCCCUAUAUAUAGGCAGCAUAUAUUGUCUCAUGGUAAUUGGAGUCUUUGGAGAUUUUGUGUGUAAAUGAAUAUAAAAAUGACCCUUUAUGGGUGGGUUGAGGGGGGUGUUUCUGUCAACAUUUUGGAAAGCAAUAACAUUUUAUUAAAAAAUUAGAAUAAUCACACAUUAAACUCUGAUCAAUUGUAGUAUAUAUUGUAUUGUGUGUGAUUAAAGUAAGGUUAUUUUUUUACCCCACCUCUGCAUGCAAGGAUUUUUUGGCCACCCCACCUAAAGCAACUAUUAUUUUUCAGUUACCCCACCAUUUUCUCUUCGGCCCCCACCCCUGCCAUAAAUAAUGACCGGUCCCUUAGAGAGAAGUAUGAAUCAAAUGAGACCAGAAACUAAUGUUUUAAAACACUUUAUUAUAAAACUAUGAGUAUUUUCCAGCUAUCAAGUCUACCAUGCAGGUCAUGAACAUUUGACUAACUCAGUGACAUGGCAGAUACUAUAUUAGUAUAUUGGUGGAAAUUGGCAACAAAUUCCGACCUACGGCUACACUAUAUUUCAGUGUUGCUGCAUGAUUUCAGUUCAUUUUGGUCCAAAUUUAAUGCAGCUAAUUUUCCACAUUAAAAGACUGUCAGGCGUUUCUUACAAUUUUUAACAGACUUUAAGUGAAUAUCGAGCGGGUGGGGCAGGUUAUAGUCCCCCACUCGAUAAAGUUUAUUCACAGUGACAGAGUACCGUGAAUAUAAGUGUGACGAAUUUCUAAAUUCAUGAAUGUUUUUAUGGGAAACCCUACGAAUGUUUAUUUGGAAAAUCCUUUGACUUUUGUGAAUCAUCACAACAAGCUAAUGUCGCAUGUCGAAUUUUCGUAUGUCUUUUUCAAUGCUCUCACUUUUAAGGAAUUAUCCUUAAAAAUAGGAAUUUUGAGGAUUUUUUAAAGGAAUUGUUUUCAGUUUUUAGUGCUUAGAAACAAGGUUGAAAAACUGAAAAACAGCAAAAAAGGAGAAAAAACACUUUUGCAACUAUGUGACCAGGUCUAAGUGUAGUAAUUUUACCAUUAAAGAAUUUUAAGGAAAUCUGAGGAAUUUUCGAGCUUUUUCUAAGGAAUUCGAAAAUUUGAUUGUGAGCACUGCCCUUUUAUUACCCUGGCCCAGAGGUUUUUUUAGGUUUGGCGAACGCGAAAUGCGAGAAAACGCGCGAAGAAAAAGGAAAAACCUCUGGUGAAUUUGUUAGCGAUUCCUGGUUCGGACAAAGAAUGCAAAAAAUGUAUAAUGGCUUAAUGCAGCAUAUUCUAAAAAUAUUAUCCAAUCAUUAUCCUUGACGCCAGGCCGUCUAGACAGGGUUUUAUCGCAUGUUUACUGUCCAGUGUAUGCCUGCCCAUUUGUAGCAAUAUUCAUUCUCCUGAAUUUCAUUCAAUUUAAAACAUCACAUCUAUUCAAUUUAAUAUAAAUAUAUAUUUAUUUUCAUUCACUUUAAUCUUGCAAUAGACACUUCCCGAAUUUGCUUGAGUGCACACGAAACAAUAGCUUGGAAUCGAGGCGGACAAUGUAAUCCAUUGGAAAACUAUACUUAUUUCCAAUGGAUUACAUUGUCCGCCUCGAUUCCAAGCUAUUGUUUCGUGUGCACUCAAGCAAAUUCGGGAAGUGUCUAUAUACAUUCAAUUUAAUCCUGCAAUAUACAUUCAAAAAAAUCUGUAUUUUAUAAAUUUAUUAAACACACCUCUUUGGGCCGACGUGAACUUUGUCUGUUAAUUCAAAAGCAAGCAAAUUUGUCUUGUAGAUUUCAAAUGAAACCAUUCCUCUCUAUUUCGCAUUUCGAAUAAUAGACUCGCCGGGAUUACAGAAUGCGAAUGUAAACUCUCCAUCUAGUAUUGCUUUCUCGUCCUCUUCGUUUGACAGUUAAGUAACACGGCAUCCACGCUUUCUUAGUUCACGGACGUGAGAGUCAAUGAAAUAGUUCAAUUUGCAAAUGACUAUUAAGACGGGUUUCUCCAGAAAAUUGUGGCUUUUGCCAAGUCGUCGUGCUACUCUCGGUGUUGGAACUUUGGAAUAUUAAACUCUUCCCAUAACCGAUAGCAAGAUGCAAAUACAUCUUUAAUGUGAAUCAAAUUGGACAAGGCGCGGUAUUGAUGCUCCGUUAAACUUUUAAUUCAGGAAAUUUAUCAAUCUAUCUAUUAAUGCAGCCUAUAAAACUGCUUCUUUCAACUUUUGUUCGCUUAUUUAAUAAUAUUAUUAGACAUUUCAAAAUUCAAAUGUUUCAAUUCAAUCAAAACACGAAACGCCUGCGAACAGGCUAUGAUGUUUACAAUAUCCAAUCAGAAUACGUAGUCUAUCGAACCUAUAGUCAGCAGCCAAUCAACUCUUUGCUUCCAUUUUUGAAAGUUAUGUGUGGAAUGUGAACACGAAAACUACGUCAAUUUCACCAGAGGGUUAUUCAAAACAGGCGAAAAUAAAUACCCUCCGGUUCCAGGGUACCCUUUUAUCGGUGUAUAGUUACAGUAUACUGAUUUAAUAUGCUGUUUUUCAUUUUUUUUCAGAAUCUGUGUUUUCUCAUGCAGUUGCAUCGAUGUACCGUAAUUUCCUGUUAAACGAAGCUAAUUUGCUAUGUAUUUCCAAAUUUAAGGGUGUAGUGGAAUAUUUACUAAUUUGCAAGUAUAUACUCUAUUACUAUUAGAACUAGAUGAUAGAACUAAAAAUUUUGUGUAAAGUAAAAAAAGGGGAA